rnacentral:rRNA from 1 species
CGGCAAAAGCUCAAAUUUGAAAUCUGGCCUCCCAUGGAGGUCCGAGUUGUAAUUUGCAGAGGGCGCUUUGGCGUCGGCAGCGGUCUAAGUUCCUUGGAACAGGACGUCACAGAGGGUGAGAAUCCCGUACGUGGUCGCCUGCCUUCGCCGUGUAAAGCCCCUUCGAC